UACUAGUAGAAAGUAAAGUCUUCGGUGUCAGAUCCCAUCGAAAUCUCCCAUUUUUUCCUGUGUCAAUUGUCGCAACUCGAUCCAUGUUCAAUUUUCCCCUCAGAUUAAGAUUCAAUUGCUGUAUUUGCUUUUUUUUUUUUUUUUUUCCCAAAUCAAAUCAAAACCCUAAGUCUCAGUUUUAAUUUUCCCUUAAAAAUCAAAAUCCUAAGUAAUCAGUAAGAAGGUAGUGAUGGGUUCUUCAAGAUUUAGUUUUAAUUGUUUUGUAAUCGUAUGGGAUUCUGGUGGAAUGAAGAAUAACAAAAAGACAUAGCAUUAUGAUAUUUCCUCCCAAAACUAAGUAAUGAUGUGAAACUUUCGGUGGGUUGAAGAAUGUCUGGAGUCGCAUUGUGAGUAACUUUGUAUGCAGUAAUGGCGUUUGGAAGUAAUUUGACACAAUGCAAUUAUGUACUCAGAAGGAUAAGAUACACCAAAAAAGAAGUUUAGGGAUGAGGAAAAGAAGACCAAGAACACUGAGGAUGAUAAGGAUGCUUAGGUUUGGGAUUUGUUCGCACUAGAUGAAGGUGAUAAAAGACCUACCUUGUCUAAUGCCUGUGGAAUAUGUAGAAACUAGAAAGCUAAAUGGAAAACACGUCACUAUCCAACACCCCACAAUACAAAUUAAAAACGUCCUGCAGAUAAACCCGGAACACGUUAACCGACAGGGAGGGGAAGGAUCUUGUGAAAUUCUAUCUACUCAAGAGCAUCAGAUGGAAACUGAUCGAUUAGCUUUACUCGAGUUCAAUAGUAAAUUACAAUAUAACCCAUGCGGAGGGCUAGGCUCGUGGAAUCAUUCCGAUCAUUGUACUACUUGGCUAUGAAAUAGUUGUAAUCGUGAGCAUACAAGAGUUGUUACCAUUUUGGAUCCAAGUUAUCUGGAAUUGGGUUCCUUGCUAUGGCUUCUAUGGUGAAAUUCCGCAAGAAAUUGGCCGUUUCUUCCGGCAUCAGUUUCUAUAUUUGUUAUACCAUCGGUUUUAUGGUGGAAUUCGAAGCUCUUUGAGGAACAAUAUUGAUGGGAUAAUUCCUCCGUCCUUACAGAGUUUGAAGGAAAUUGAAGAGUUAAACCUGUCACACAAUUACUUGUCUGGUACACUUCCAGUGUCUUGAAUCAUUUCAUUUUGUUAUAAACUGGAUUUAUCUUGGAAUAACUUUGAACAUGAAGUACUAAAAGAAGGUAUUUUCAACAACACGAGUAGUAGGUCUUCAGAAACGAGGAACUUUAAAAGGUCUCAAGGCAGAAUGUGAAGCGUUGAGAUGCAUUCGACGUCACAAUGUAACUUCUUGCUUUAGUGUCGAAUUUGAAGGAAGUUAAUUUCAAAAGCUCUGGUUUACAAAUUCAUGCGGAAGUCUUGAGAACUGUUUGCACCCGACAGCAAAACGUAGAAAGCGUCAGAGGUCAAUAAACAGGCCAUUGAAAUUUAUUGAGAGGCGAUAUGUAGCCGCGGAUGAUGCUUCUGCAUUAGAUUAUGUUCAUCACCAGUGCCAGACAUCAGUAGGUUAUUGGGAUCUGAAGCCAAGCAACGUUUUACUUGACGAGGGUCGAGGGCCUGAAUGGUCGUCUUGGAGAUUUUGGAUCAGUUAAGUUUCUCCGUGAGUUGCUGCUGUUGUUGAAUCUAGAAAUCUUCGCAGUACUUCAUCCGGGAUGAGGUCUCUGUCAACAUGGCUACUAUGCGUCCUGUCAACUUUUAUCCUAACUCAAAAGUUCUUGGCCUCUCAAAAUUGGAUUUUUUUUCCUUUGACAAGCCUCUCUCUCUCUGCAGACUUCCAUUCUUCGAUUUUCUUCCAAACGUCAACUGCCACCAACUGCCAACACAUGUACUCUCUGACACUAACAGGAAGGAAUCAGUUUCCAUGUCUUUCUAGCCUACAGUUUCGCCCAGAAGGUCCUGUGUUUCUGUUUCUCGGCUUCUGGUAUAAUUUAUGCUCCUCCUUUCAUCACUUUGAUUUCCAAUUGGAAUCAUAUUGUUUAUACGGGCACCACUAAAGAAAUCUGAAAUACACAUUUCAGACAUUAUUAUUUGGUCCCUUAUGGCUUUAAGCAAAAAUCCAAGAAUCCAUAGACUUGACUAUAGGGAAAAAAAGUAAAGGAUUUGGAUUAUCUUUUUCUUUCAAUGGGGAUUUUGCACAAGGAUUUUCGCACCAAACGACGUAAUUGUUGCUGUCAAGUCUCUUAAGCUUUCAAUGGGGACUUCCCUAACAACUUUUUGAAGGCUUGUAUUUUGGGAGUCGUAGAUUUACAUGCAACUUCGCUACCAGUAAGCUUCUUAUUUUGCCACUUCCGGCCUCUCUCUAAUUGACUGUGUUUGUACCUUUUUUGGCACCUGGUAACCAGUUUUAACUUUUUCUCAAACUCCGGUGAGAUAAGUAGACAUAGUCCCAAUAGUAUAUGGAAAAGAUUGCUAAGCAAUUCUCCUAUGUUCAACAAAACAUAAGAAAAGGCUACUAGCAAGAGAACGAAUUAUGGGACAAACAAAGUGCGUACGCAGCAAUAAUACCAACCAACUUGAUCAGACGAAAGAUAUUAUGGGAAAUAGUUGUACACGUGAAUCAACCGCAAAGAAUGUUGAAGAUGACAGAACCUGUCAAAUAUCAUCGAUAAUGUUCUGGAAUAUGUGUAUGAGCAAGAAAGAUUGGGAUGAAUUACUACGGAAAGGUAAAGAACACCGGAGAUCUAUGAAGCAGAAUCUUGCUCAAUUCAUCAAAGGUCAUAGGAAACGACAUCGCUCAUGGAGACCAACCAACUUUACCGAGUAUCCCUGAAGAAAACGAAUUCAGUUGAAUUCAUCUUAGUGAAUGUUUAGAUUAAGUGCAAUUUCUAAAACAAAUACCACCCAUGAUAAUAAGCUGAGUUAAGUAGGUAUGUUUUGAUUAUUAUUACAAUAAAAUUGUUACGAAUAACAAUACGAAAUAAAGAAAUAUACACUGAUAUUCAUUGCUAGAAGAAGGUGCAUCAGAUCGGGACUGAGAAGGUGCAUGAGAUCGGAAAUCAGGCA